rnacentral:miRNA from 1 species
CGGGGCGCAGCAUGAUCGGCGU